CGUAGGCGGGUGUUUAAGUCAGAGGUCAAAUCCCAGGGCUCAACCCUGGAACUGCCUUUGAUACUGGACACCUAGAGUGCGGGAGAGGUGAGUGGAACUCCGAGUGUAGAGGUGAAAUUCGUAGAUAUUCGGAAGAACACCAGUGGCGAAGGCGACUCACUGGCCCGAUACUGACGCUGAGGCGCGAAAGCGUGGGGAGCAAACAGGAUUAGAUACCCUGGUAGUCCACGCCGUAAACGAUGAGUGCUAGUUGUCGGCAAGCAUGCUUGUCGGUGACGCAGCUAACGCAUUAAGCACUCCGCCUGGGGAGUACGGUCGCAAGAUUAAA
rnacentral:rRNA from 1 species